UUCUCCCCUCUUGUUCAACUUCAUAAAAUCUUUCUUUUGAUGGAUGAAAGCACAAUAAGAUUGGCUGCACGUCGUUCCCGUUUAAGUUCACGAAAACCCUUCCCACCCACACGAAACCCUCACGAUCUCGCAGAUCCCCCUUCCGCCGGCGCUUUCGCGCUUCCCUCCUCUUCCGGGACACGAUUUCGCCUAAAGUCGUCCUCUCACAGAUCGCUGUCAUCACAACCCAAAGAGGUACAAAAUGGCAUAUGAAUGUGCUAUUUCAAUUCUACCAGUUAAUUGACACUGGAUAGUUGUUGAUGAUUAAGUACAGAUGGGUCCGCCAAAUGCUUCUGGACCUAAUAUAGCUGUUGAUGAUUAAGUUCAGAUGGGUCCGCCAAAUGCUUCUGGACCUAACGGUAGACCAAGAAAAAGAAGAUUGCAAAGUUUCUUAGAAGGUGGCAAUAAUAAGAGCAAGAAAGUUUAGAGGAGCAGCCAUGUGAUCAAUGGGGCCAACACAGAAGCACCUGCAAGAAUCCACACAUUUUCAUGUAAUCACGCCAAACGCUGACUACACGUCCGGUUCAUCUCAACUAACCAAUGCUUCGUGAAGUUGCAGACCCAAUUUGCCAAUUAGAAAGGUGCGGGUGGUGGAGAAAUUCAGUGCCCGUUUGGGGCAACUUAUAGGGUGCGGCAGCGUUGUGAAAACGCCGCCUUCUCGUUUGAAUAUCGCGAUCGAUGUAAAUUUUUGGUGUCACGGCGUUUUAUUAUCGCGAUUUCCUUCAUCCCUACGCAAGUCGGACUCCCCCCGCAUCCCGCGUAUGAAUUUUGUGAUUAGGGAAGAAUUUCUGUGGUGCCCCCUUCUCGCUCGCCCUCGCCCUUGGAGAAUCGCAGAUCUCCUCUGCUCCUUCGCCUCGCCUCGUACGCUCUCGCCCUUGGAGAAUCACGGUUCUCCUCUGCUCCUUCGCCACGCCUCGCAGAUCUCCCUCGGCUCGCCCUUUCCACGAAAAUCGAUCUCCUCUGCUCACCCUUUGCAAGAGACGUCGCCUAGGAAAAUCGCACCUAUUCUAUUUCUCGCCUCGCAGAUCUCCCUCGGCUCGCCGAUCCUCCUCUGCUCUUUGCUUAGACUGAGAUCGGCGCAAGGAUGGAUCCGCAGCAUGAACGUUGUAAAAGAAUGACAUGGGCUGCAGCUAUUGCAAUAUUGUUGUUGGAGUAUUACCGAUCCAACAGUGUUCGUAUACCCCGUAUAACGUCCAAUUUUAUUGGGGAUAAAUGAGUAGGUGAAAUGCUUUCUGGACAUCUUAUAAUGUUCAACAACAUAUUUCGAAUGAGUGUACUUAUUUUUGUGGAUUCCUGAAUGAGUUAUCUCUGAAUCACGGCCUCUAAGUUUCCUCACCCGCCUUUAGGUAUGAUUUGAUCUGUAAACGUACUAGUUAUAUGCAUUAUUUGUCAUUAAUAAUGUAUUCCAUAACAGAGCAAUAGUAUAUGGUCGAUGUUGGAUAUCCUAUGCAGAGGGGCUACCUGAAGUCAUAUCCAGACACUAGAUACCAUAUUCUUGAUUUUGAGCAAGCAAGUGACACCAUCCUUGACAGAAAAGAAAUGUUUAACAAAUGUCACUCCUCUUUUCGCGGGGUAAUUUAAAGAACGUUUAGGGUUUGGAAGAAGAAAUGAGUCAUCUUACGUGAUAUGUCGUCGUAUCUAUUUCAAAAGUAGGUGCAUAUUGUGGUAACAACAAUGACACUUCAUAACUUCAUCUGAAGACAUCAUUCACGUUCAGAUACGAACUUUAGUAUGGCUGGUAACGAUGAACCGAAUGUCUUUGAAGAACCAUCAGCAUUUGUGGUUCGGCCUUCAGUCUAUGAGGAUGAGAUUGACUCUAACGAAUUUGGGGUUCAUGACACUGAGAGUGUGGCUGAGAUGACUGCUUUGAAGGAGUCAAUCGUAGAUGAUAUGGCAGCUGAUCCAUCAAGUCUUCUUUACUUUCGUCUGCACAUCUUUUUGUUUUUUUUAGGAUCUGACCUUUUUUUUUUGUUUCUUCUGAUACUCACGAGAGUGUGAGCACUGUAUGUUUUCUUUUGAACUGAUCUGGGAUGCUUUAUGGGUUCUGUAUUAUAUACUUCUGUUCUCGUUUUAGUUAUGUUGCAAACAGCUUAACCAAACAGGGGCAGAACGAUCAUUUAUCCUACAACAGCUCCCAGUAAGCUAUUUUGAAUAAGCUGCCUCAAACAUCAAACCAGCUUAUUCUGAUAAUCUG